GGCCUAUAAACCUGUCAAAUAACACACUGUACAUAUAUUUUGGCACAGUCAAUUCAAAGAUCGUGAAGGAUUAGGCCUAUAAAUCUGUCAAAUAACACACUGUACAUAUAUUUUGGCACCGUCAAUUCAAAGAUCAUGAAGGAUU